rfam:Trichobilharzia regenti genome assembly, scaffold: TRE_scaffold0010596
GUACUGCUGAAGAGUCGCAAACUAGGCUGAUGAAACAGCUGUCCAGUAC